UAGGGAAUAUUCCACAAUGGACGCAAGUCUGAUGGAGCAACGCCGCGUGAGUGAAGAAGGUUUUCGGAUCGUAAAGCUCUGUUGUUGGUGAAGAAGGAUAGAGGCAGUAACUGGUCUUUAUUUGACGGUAAUCAACCAGAAAGUCACGGCUAACUACGUGCCAGCAGCCGCGGUAAUACGUAGGUGGCAAGCGUUGUCCGGAUUUAUUGGGCGUAAAGCGAGCGCAGGCGGAAUGAUAAGUCUGAUGUGAAAGCCCACGGCUCAACCGUGGAACUGCAUCGGAAACUGUCAUUCUUGAGUGCAGAAGAGGAGAGUGGAAUUCCAUGUGUAGCGGUGGAAUGCGUAGAUAUAUGGAAGAACACCAGUGGCGAAGGCGGCUCUCUGGUCUGCAACUGACGCUGAGGCUCGAAAGCAUGGGUAGCGAACAGG
rnacentral:rRNA from 1 species